GACGAACCGUGCGAACGUUAUUCGGAACCACUGGGCUUAAAGCGCGUGUAGGCGGGCCGGCACGUCGGACGUUGAAAUCCCCCGGCUCAACCGGGGAAGGGGCGCCGAUACGACCGGCCUGGAGGAACGUAGGGGGAGCUGGAACUUCCGGUGGAGCGGUGAAAUGCGUUGAGAUCGGAAGGAACGCCCGUGGCGAAAGCGAGCUCCUGGACGUUUUCUGACGCUGAGACGCGAAAGCCAGGGGAGCGAACGGG
rnacentral:rRNA from 1 species